rnacentral:lncRNA from 1 species
ACACAGAACAGACUGGGGGGGGGUGUGUGUCUAAUGGAGACUGAACCUCUUCUCCCAGACCAGGGGGGAGUCGUGGAAUGUGUUUGGGGGUGUGUCUAAUGGAGCACUGAACCUCUUCCCAGACUAGGAGGGAGUGUGGACUGUGUUUGGGGGUUGUCUAAUGGAGACUGAACCUCUCUCCCAGACUAGGAGGGAGUCGGGGACUGGUUGGGGGGGUGUCUAAUGGAGACUGAAACUCUCUCCCAGACUAGGAGGGAGUUCGUGGACUUGUUGGGGGGUGUCUAAUGGAGGACUGAACCUCUCUCCCAGACUGAGGGGAGUCGUGGACUGUGUUGGGGGUGUUCUAUGGAGACUGAACCUCUCUCCCGACUAGGAGGGAGUCGUGGACUGUGUUGGGGGUUGUGUCUAUGGAGACUGAACCUCUCUCCAGACUGGAGGGAGUCGUGGACUGUGUUGGGGGGGUGUUGUCUAAUGGAGACUGAACCUCUCUCCCCGAACAGGAGGGAGUCGUGGACUUGUUGGGGGUGUGUGUGUCUAAUGGAGACUGAACCUCUCUCCCAGACCAGGAGGGAGUCGUGGACUGUGUUGGGGGGGUGUGUGUCUAAUGGAGACUGAACCUCUCUCCCAGACCAGGGGGGAGUGGUUGACUGUGUUGGGGGGGUUGUGGUCUAAUGGAGACGGAACCUCUCUCCCAGACCCGGAGGGAAGUCGUUGGAUGUGAGAGAGAGGGAGGGGGGAGAGGGAGAGGGGAGAGGGAGAGAGAAGGAGGGGGGAGAGGGAGAAGUAAUGCGCUAUUGAUUUGUCUGCGGCUCUAGAUCCUUGCAACUUUUCCAAAACACAAACGCUGGCGCUCCCUCCUCUCCCCUCUCCCAGGCUCCCCCGUCUCCAGCCAGAAACCUAUAGCAUAUAACAUCAGCAGGAGUGACCAGGCUGAUAUAUGAGGCUAAUUCAAACUGACUUUGUAUCGAUGUCUUGUAGUGUGUGUGGACAAGAAUCAAUUACGGAAGUACAAGGUUCCACGCCCCUGGUUCUAGAAGCGUUACAGCGGCAGGAAGCCCCACAGCUCCCGACAAUCUGCCGGUAGAAUGGCAAAAAGGCAGGGUUGAUGGAAUUCCUGACAUGCUUGUCGUUCUGGGAAGGCGCUACGAAUGCAUCGGGCCCUAUUGGAAAUUAAUUUUUGCAGGUAAAUGUGUCUAGCAGGCCGCCAUCUAAAACAAAUGGACAUUGAGUUCACUCAGUGGUGUGGAGGAGCUGGAAAAAGAGGGAGGUUUGGGUUAUAAGCGGAGGUUGAACACAAAUGCUGUACUGUUAGACAUUAGUCAUCAUGUCUGUCUGUCUGUCCUAUCUGGUGUGUUCACCUUUCACCUCCUGUCCAUCCUUUCAGAGAGAUUUUAAGCUGCUCUGAUAAACAGGUGUGAACAAAGACUGCCUUUAAGUGUGUGUGUGUGUGUGUGUGUGGGUGUGUGUGUGAGAUAGUAACAGAGUGAGAGAGAGCAGAGUCUCUUCCUGAAGGAUAAAGUCUCUCUCCAAAACAAGUACACACACGCGCGUGCCAUUUGAGACAGCCCUACAGCAGUUUAACGCUCGGCCACACAUGUCCUCUCCAUCACAAGGUCCCUGUAAGUGAUAAAAGCUGUUUCCUCAGCAUAUUCAGUGUCCUCCACUCUCCAUGUUAAAAAAGACCCCCAAAAAUGUGGGGGAAAAAGCGAACUGCGGUCGCCGUCUCACAUAAACAGCACAUGGCCGCGUGAAGACAGCAAUCAAUCUUUCAGGAGAGUUUUCAGAGAACAAGUCCAAAUGGGGUCUUGACCCUCUCCUCCGUGUUGAUUUAUUAAGAUCAGGAAAGGGAUUUCACUUGUAAAAUGUGUUUCGAGAGACCACAAGGAAUGUGACUGUGCUGUUUAAAGAAGGACGUGCGUGUCAGCGGUGCUCCAGCGUGUUGUUGUAGGUGUUAAAGGCGCUGGAGCGGAGCAACAUCAAGACAGAGGAGCAGGCUGCUCCCAGCCACAAGUCUAGUGGCCUAAAUGGCACCCUAUAUUCCUUUAUAGUGCACUACUUUACACCGCACUACUUCACACCAGGCACCAUAGGGAAUAGUUUUUAGUUCAAGCACGUUGUUUGUCGGGAGGCAGAGCGGAGCAGCCGUUUCAGUGGUUGUUGGCCCUUCUUCCCGGCAGCGUCAGGCCCAGCCACGAGCACCUCGCCGUGGGAUGACAAACAGCUCACGCUCCCUUACACUUUUACAGCUCUCAUUAAACUAUUCUCACCUUCUACAUCGUUCCCUCGCCAGCAGGCGUUCUCUCGGUCUCGCUCUUUCUCUGGCUGUGUCCUAAAUGUCACACUUUGCCCUAUAUAGUGCUGCUGGGCACUGGUCAAAAGUAGUGCACUACAGAGGGAAGGGAAUAAGGUGCCAUUUGGGACCCAAGCCUCUCACUACCUCUGCGUCUGAUGUACGGUGGAGGACAACACACACGUUGCCUGUGAGGCCCAUAUAACCUGGGGUAAAGAACACACUGGGGUGGGACGUUGUGAACUAGCAGAAACAAACAGGCUUGUUCUUUUGUGCAUUGUUUGUUUUUAAC